AUUGAACGCUGGCGGCAGGCCUAACACAUGCAAGUCGAGCGGCAGCGGAAAGUAGCUUGCUACUUUGCCGGCGAGCGGCGGACGGGUGAGUAAUGUCUGGGAAACUGCCCGAUGGAGGGGGAUAACUACUGGAAACGGUAGCUAAUACCGCAUAACGUCUUCGGACCAAAGUGGGGGACCUUCGGGCCUCACCCCCUCGGAUUUUCCCAGAUGGGAUUAGCUGGUAGGUGAGGUAAUGGCUCACCUAGGCGACGAUCCCUAGCUGGUCUGAGAGGAUGACCAGCCACACUGGGACUGAGACACGGCCCAGACUCCUACGGGAGGCAGCAGUGGGGAAUAUUGCACAAUGGGCGCAAGCCUGAUGCAGCCAUGCCGCGUGUGUGAAGAAGGCCUUCGGGUUGUAAAGCACUUUCAGCGAGGAGGAAGGGUGCAGUGUUAAUAGCACUGUGCAUUGACGUUACUCGCAGAAGAAGCACCGGCUAACUCCGUGCCAGCAGCCGCCGUAAUAC
rnacentral:rRNA from 1 species